CUACGUGCCAGCAGCCGCGGUAAUACGGAAGGUCCAGGCGUUAUCCGGAUUUAUUGGGUUUAAAGGGAGCGUAGGCCGUGGAUUAAGCGUGUUGUGAAAUGUAGACGCUCAACGUCUGAAUUGCAGCGCGAACUGGUUCACUUGAGUAUGCACAACGUAGGCGGAAUUCGUCGUGUAGCGGUGAAAUGCUUAGAUAUGACGAAGAACUCCGAUUGCGAAGGCAGCUUACGGGAGCACAACUGACGCUGAAGCUCGGAGGUGCGGGUAUCAAACAGGAUUAGAUACCCUGGUAGUCCGCACAGUAAACGAUGGAUGCCCGUUGUUAGUUCACCUAAGAAUUAGCGACCAAGCGAAAGCAUUAAGCAUCCCACCUGGGGAGUACGCCGGCAACGGUGAAACUCAAAGGAAUUGACGGGGGCCCGCACAAGCGGAGGAACAUGUGGUUU
rnacentral:rRNA from 1 species